AUUGAACGCUGGCGGCAUGCCUUACACAUGCAAGUCGAACGGUAACGCGGGGCAACCUGGCGACGAGUGGCGAACGGGUGAGUAAUGCAUCGGAACGUGCCUGGUCGUGGGGGAUAACUGCUCGAAAGAGCAGCUAAUACCGCAUACGACCUGAGGGGGAAAGGGGGGGAUCGCAAGACCUCUCGCUAUCAGAGCGGCCGAGGUCGGAUUAGCUAGUUGGUGGGGUAAAAGCCCACCAAGGCGACGAUCCGUAGCUGGUCUGAGAGGACGACCAGCGACACUUGGACUGAGGUACGGCCCAGACUCCUAGGGGAGGCAGGAGUGGGGAAAUGUGGACAAUGGACGCAAGUCUGAUCCAGCCAUGCCGCGUGCGGGAAGAAGGCCUUCGGGUUGUAAACCGCUUUUGUCAGGGAAGAAACGCUCUGGGUUAAUACCUCGGGGUAAUGACGGUACCUGAAGAAUAAGCACCGGCUAACUACGUGCCAGCAGCCGCGGUAAAAC
rnacentral:rRNA from 1 species